GAGAAAUAUACAAAACAUUCUACGGUAAAGGAACGAGACAAACGAAACCAUAGCGCUCCUAGGUUCGCCUUCACUUAACAAUGCCAACACUGAAGCACCCCGUCGGAGUUCCACAGUUGGAGAUCUUUGCUGCCAUUUUAGACAUCUUUAGAUUUCAUCAAUCAAAAUGACUGCAGUUUUCCAUAAAAAAUGCUGAAUUUGGGUCAGAAACCUGGCGAACAAGAUAAAGAUCUUGGGCUGUCUUGUGAGAUGAUAAAUGAAUAUCCUUUCAUGCAAACAAUACGAAUAAAACGUUGGUUUGUGAUCUACUUAGUGUAAGAAUGAAGUUAGAGUGUGAGAUAAAACCUUGAUUGAAUAAAACUUGUAUGGCCAGGAAACAAGAAACUCACAUCUCACAUACGCCAACUUUAAAAACGCUCCUGGAAAACUAUUUACAGACAUCAUGCAGAGAACUUCUGAUUUAAUCAUAUUCUUAGAUUUGUCUACAGCUGUGGCCAAAAGUUUUGCAGAACCUAUAAUUUUAGGAUUGAGACAUCAUUUUAAUAUCUAUCUAUCUAUCUAUCUAUCUAUCUAUCUAUCUAUCUAUCUAUCUAUCUAUCUAUCUAUCUAUCUAUUAAUUUAAUUUAGAUAUUUUAUUUAACAUCAUGUAAUCAAAGAAACAAGAAAAUAAUAUCGUAAAAGUCUACCGGAAGCCAUAAUAAUAGUAUUUCAUGUUAGAUUUUGAAAUGUCUCAUUCUUCGUUAAGUAUAUGGAAAACUACAAAGCGGAAAGUAAUUCAAUAUGUUAACGUAACAUUAUUCAGCAGGUUUCAUUCGACUUUAUGACACAAACGUCCAUGCUAUAUGGGUGAUGCAAAACUUUUGGCCACAGCUGCUUCUCUAUUAACUUACCGGUACUAUUUAAAAGGGCGCUCUUGGGGUAUAUAAAAAAACAAAUAGAGGCACAUCAUAUAUGCUCAUUUCAAUCUUUUCUGACAAGUGGAUAUUAUGUUUACAGAAAUAUAUCUUAGACUAAUUCUAAAAACUAAGAAUUAAAUAAUAAAAUGCACGUAAAAAUAAAUACGAAUCACCCCUAAGUGCAAAAGUAAGAUAUAUCAUUAUUAUUAUUAUUAUUAUUAUUAUUAUUAUUAUUAUUAUUAUUAUUAUUAUUAUUAUUAUUAUUAUUAUUAUUAUUAUUAUAUUAGAGGUUCACAGAAAAUAUUCCGAUUUUAUAAAAAACAAACAAACAUGUAAGCUCUCGUCUGGACAGCACUCUGCAAAAUAGGGCCUAUAUAAAUUGUAUAUAUAUUCUAACGUGUCUGUUUUCAAUUGACCAAUGUUUUUUUUUGUUUUUUUAUUACCCCGCACGUUGCUGUAUUGAUCACUGAAUUAUCAAUAAAACAGUUUACACAUUCCACUGCUCUGUAACGUUUCAUUUUUAUUUUUAUUAAAUGUUUUUAAAUCUG